UACGUAGGGGGCAAGCGUUGUCCGGAAUCAUUGGGCGUAAAGAGCGUGUAGGCGGCCCGGUAAGUCCGCUGUGAAAGUCCAGGGCUCAACCCUGGGAUGCCGGUGGAUACUGUCGGGCUCGAGUCCGGAAGAGGAGUGUGGAAUUCCGUGGUGUAGCUGGUGAAAUGCGGCAGAAUAUCAGGAGGAACACCGGUGGCGAAGGCGGGUCUCUGGGCCGAAAGUUGGACGCUGAGGAGCGAAAGCGUGGGGAGCAAACAGG
rnacentral:rRNA from 1 species